GAUGAACGCUGGCGGCGUGCCUAAUACAUGCAAGUCGAGCGAACAGAUGAGGAGCUUGCUCCUCUGACGUUAGCGGCGGACGGGUGAGUAACACGUGGAUAACCUACCUAUAAGACUGGGAUAACUACGGGAAACCGGAGCUAAUACCGGAUAAUAUAUUGAACCGCAUGGUUCAAUAGUGAAAGACGGUUUUGCUGUCACUUAUAGAUGGAUCCGCGCCGCAUUAGCUAGUUGGUAGGGUAACGGCUUACCAAGGCAACGAUGCGUAGCCGACCUGAGAGGGUGAUCGGCCACACUGGAACUGAGACACGGUCCAGACUCCUACGGGAGGCAGCAGUAGGGAAUCUUCCGCAAUGGGCGAAAGCCUGACGGAGCAACGCCGCGUGAGUGAUGAAGGUCUUCGGAUCAUAAAACUCUGUUAUUAGGGAAGAACAAAUGUGUAAGUAACUAUGCACGUCUUGACGGUACCUAAUCAGAAAGCCACGGCUAACUACGUG
rnacentral:rRNA from 1 species